UCCCUGCUGGCUCAGUUGGUAAAGAAUCUGCCUGGAAUGCAGGAGACCCAGGUUUGAUUCCUGGGUAGGAAA